GUGGUGAUUCGAGUCUGUGCCCAUGAUUAGCACUGCUGUUCUUUUUCACUCAACAUGGAUUCUUGCUCCAAGCUAGUGAUUCUCUCCUCUGGCUGCACAUAAGAAUCACCUAAGGAGCUCUUACAGAAUCCUGAUGCCCAGGGCUGCUCUGGGAGACUCUGAUUUAAUUGGUUGGGGGUGGGACCUGGGCACUGAUAAUUUUUACAAGCUCUCCAGGUGAUUCUAAUGUGCAGCCAGGGUUGAGAAGCAAUAUUCUAAGACAGCAGUGGGAGGGGUACAUAGGGAAGACUGGCUUGUAGAACCUCUUUUGAUGGUUUAAUGGUAACAAGCUUGCUAAUGAUGUUUACCAUGUAAGAAAGGGGGCCAGAUGUCUGGAUUAGCUGGAGAACUAAUUGAUUUCCUUGCAAAACAGGGUAACAUUUAGUAUUGACAGGGUGUGAUCCUAGAAUCUCUCAGAAGGGCUGUAAGAAAAUCUCAGCAUUCCCCUGAGGUUGGGGGGUGAAAAAUAUUUAUAUAGAUUAACAUCAUUUAAAAACAUUUUUAAAGAAAGGAAACCACAAGAGAGCAGAAAGAUUUGAGUUUCCCCUUAGGGGAAAAAGCAAUUCCUGCUAUUCCAGAAGAACCUCGAGAGGCAGCCAGUCUGCCCUCCCACGUGCCCUUCUCCCAGGGUUUCUUGGCAGAAGCCAUCAUGGGAGGUUGACUGGAGGAUGCCUGCGCAGUAGAACUUUCCCCAGGGAGGAAGUCUAGAUGGAGUCUCUUCAGCAAGGCCUGGUUCAGCUGGUGGCUUUCAGCCUCUCUCUUCUCAGGGAGUGCGUGCAUGCGCUCACUUUUUCCAGUGGGCUUCUCGGUCUGAUUUAAUGGAUAUACCAGGACUGAUGACACAUCAGCACGGGAUCUUUCUUUUGCUUCUUGGGAUGAACGAGGAGCCCCUCCUAUCCUCAGUGCCUGCAACUCUCUCCAGACCCAAGACCCCAGAAAGGAGAGAAAGGAAAGGAGACAAUGGACACCUGGUACCCUACUGUGCAGCUCAAAAGAAACUUGGAAAAUACAGACUGUCCAAC
ensembl:lncRNA